rnacentral:rRNA from 1 species
AACCUCCGCAAUGUGAGAAAUCGCGACGGGGGGAUCCCAAGUGCCAUUCUUAACGGGAUGGCUUUUCAUUAGUGUAAAGAGCUUUUGGAAUAAGAGCUGGGCAAGACCGGUGCCAGCCGCCGCGGUAACACCGGCAGCUCUAGUGGUAGCAGUUUUUAUUGGGCCUAAAGCGUCCGUAGCCGGUUUAAUAAGUCUCUGGUGAAAUCCUGUAGCUUAACUGUGGGAAUUGCUGGAGAUACUAUUAGACUUGAGAUCGGGAGAGGUUAGAGGUACUCCCAGGGUAGAGGUGAAAUUCUGUAAUCCUGGGAGGACCGCCUGUUGCGAAGGCUUCUAACUGGAACGAUUCUGACGGUGAGAGACGAAAGUUAGGGGCGCGAACCGGAUUAGAUACCCGGGUAGUCCUAACUGUAAACGAUGCGGACUUGGUGUUGGGGUGGCUUUGAGCUGCUCCAGUGCCGAAGGGAAGCUGUUAAGCCCGCCGCCUGGGAAGUACGGUCGCAAGACUGAAACUUAAAGGAAUU